UACGAACUGUGCGAACGUUAUUCGGAAUCACUGGGCUUAAAGGGUGCGUAGGCGGUUUGUUAAGUCAGGUGUGAAAUCUCCCGGCUCAACCGGGAAACAGCGCUUGAAACUAGCAGACUGGAGUGAGGUAAGGGUGUGCGGAACUUCCAGUGGAGCGGUGAAAUGUGUAGAUAUUGGAAGGAACGCCGGUGGCGAAAGCGGCACACUGGGCCUUGUCUGACGCUGAGGCACGAAAGCCAGGGGAGUGAACGCG
rnacentral:rRNA from 1 species